GAAACCGUUCAGGGGUAAACCUGAGAAACCCGAAAGGUCGAAGGGGGAAAUUCAUUCGCGUCUCGCCGUCGGCGGGGGGCGGUCGUGCGACGGAAGACGCGCUCGCGCGCGUCAUCCGGCGCCCUCCGCUUCCGGAUCCGGUGGCGAACGCGUGCACUUUUCUCCCGGUAGGACGUCGCGAUCCGUCGGGCGUCGGUCUACGGCUAGCGGUGGAGACCGGGCGCGCGCUUCGGCGCGCGCCCAGGACCCGCAUGUCCCGGCCGACUCGCUCGACGGUAUGCGAACGGUCAAGGGCCGCUCAACAGAGGAGCGUUCGGCCCGUCGCAAGCGCGUCAGACGCAUCGGCGAUCGGACCUCGUGCCGGUUCCGAUCUCUGGCGACUGUUGGCGGCGGAGCUCUCGAACAGACCCCUGACCGAUCUGCGACGCUAUAGCUUUGGGUACUUUCAGGACCCGUCUUGAAACACGGACCAAGGAGUCUAGCAUGUGCGCGAGUCAUUGGGACAAACUAGACCCAAAGGCGCAAUGAAAGUGAAGGUCCGCCUCGCGCGGACUGGGGGAGGACGGGCGGUUCGCCCUCAAAAGCGGCCGCCCCGCACUCCCGGGGCGUCUCGUUCUCAUCGCGAGGAGAGGCGCACCGAGAGCGUACACGCUGGGACCCGAAAGAUGGUGACCUAUGCCUGGUCAGGACGAAGUCAGGGGAAACCCUGAUGGAGGUCCGUAGCGAUUCUGACGUGCAAAUCGAUCGUAAGAA
rnacentral:rRNA from 1 species